rnacentral:rRNA from 1 species
UACGGAGGGUGCAAGCGUUGUCCGGAUUUACUGGGUUUAAAGGGUGCGCAGGCGGUUAUGUAAGUCAGUGGUGAAAUCUCCGGGCUUAACCCGGAAAUUGCCGUUGAUACUAUAUAUCUUGAAUGCUGUGGAGGUAAGCAGAAUAUGUCAUGUAGCGGUGAAAUGCUUAGAUAUGACAUAGAAUACCUAUUGCGAAGGCAGCUUACUACGCAGAUAUUGACGCUCAUGCACGAAAGCGUGGGGAUCAAACAGG